rnacentral:tRNA from 1 species
AAGUAUGAAGUAAUUAUUACAUUUAGUUUCGACCUAAUUUUAGAUUAUCCAAUAAUCCUUACUUU